GGAGACACGGGCGAAGCCUUCGCGGCACCGCCAAGCGGUGGGAAACCGUCCCGGGAGACACCCCGGGAGGGCUUCCCGAAAUGCCGCGCGAGCCUUCAAGGCUGGAAGAGACCCCGACAACAUGUCCAUUACAAUGGCUGCGGUUCCGUCUGUCUGCGCGCGGGUCGCACUCGGGCAUCUUCCCCCGGCGCAGGGAGCCCGGGUCGGAAAGGGCCUUGGACAUCAGCUAGGGAGGAAGACUAGGCCACCGCUGUCUCUUCGCGCGUGUGACUGCUUUCUCGAGGCCACGCAGCUGAAGCAGCGGUAUUAAACUAGUGCUAGGGUUUCCCAGCCACGGUGAAAAGAACGCGCGACUUCGGGCGGAGCGGACCCCGCAAUCCUAGGGAUUCCGGCCGCGGCCGCCCGCGCCUGCGCACUGGGGGGCGCGGGCCGCCAGCUGGAGGAGCGUACCAUCCGCAGGCAGGGGUGGGCGCGCGUCGCUCCCGGAAGUAGCCCCUGCGCGUCCCGGAAGUCGAGCCCCCUACCCCGGCUCCUUUGGGCCUUUGGUGUCUUCCGGGGGCUCCCGCCGCGGCGGGGGGUGAGGCGCGGUGGCCGGUGGGGCGGUGGGCUCGUCGCUGCCGACUGCUGCGGGGCUGUCGGCUGUGGCGGGAGCGGCGCCCGGCUUCGUAGCUUCGCGGGCCUGGUCUCAGCGGGCGGCCAGGCCCCUCCCGGACCCCAGGCCGUAGAUUCAUUUCGAUUCGAGUUGGUCCUCCCAGUGUCAGCCUCGUUGUCGUCCUUGUGUGCUUUGGUGGCUUAAGAGAAGGCAGUGUGUUACAUCGGCGACUGCACCUGCGCAAGGUCCCAGCUGUACUCAAGGAGUCCGUCAGGAGUUAAGGAUCCUGAAGCAGUAGCUGAA
rnacentral:lncRNA from 1 species